rnacentral:rRNA from 1 species
ACGGGAGGCAGCAGUGGGGAAUAUUGCGCAAUGGGGGAAACCCUGACGCAGCGACGCCGCGUGAGUGAUGAAGUAUUUCGGUAUGUAAAGCUCUAUCAGCAGGGAAGAUAAUGACGGUACCUGACUAAGAAGCACCGGCUAAAUACGUGCCAGCAGCCGCGGUAAUACGGGGGAUACGAGCGUUAUCCGGAUUUAUUGGAUUUAAAGGGUGCGCAGGCGGAUCGGUAAGUCAGGGGUGAAAAGUUGGGGCUCAACUCCAAUCGUGCCUUUGAUACUGCCGGACUAGAGUGCGAUAGACGUGGCCGGAAUGUGAUGUGUAGCGGUGAAAUGCUUAGAUAUGUCACAGAACACCGAUCGAGAAGUCAGGUCACGAGCUCGCAACUGACGCUCAGGCACGAAAGCGUGGGGAUCAAACAGGAUUAGAUACCCUGGUA